GCGCAGACGCAGACACAGGCGCUGAGCGGCGUCCCUUACUGGUAUAAGAAUGGCAGUGGAAUCAUCAGAAGGAUCUUUGAUAAUGUGGCUUCCUGCCUGUCCAAAACAAGAGUGCUCAUACAGCAGGAAAUUCAGUAUUCAGCAUUAGUCAGUCACUAUGUCCCUGCCAUGUGUGGAGUGUUCUUCUAAAUCCUGUGGGGGUGAUGAUAGCAGUGUUUCUUGGAGAAGCAUGUUGUAUAAAGGAGAAACAGGAUAAACACAAGUGUGACAGA